UACGUAGGGUGCAAGCGUUGUCCGGAAUUAUUGGGCGUAAAGAGCUCGUAGGCGGUCUGUCGCGUCGGCUGUGAAAACCCGGAGCUCAACUCCGGGCCUGCAGUCGAUACGGGCAGACUGGAGUUCGGCAGGGGAGACUGGAAUUCCUGGUGUAGCGGUGAAAUGCGCAGAUAUCAGGAGGAACACCGGUGGCGAAGGCGCGUCUCUGGGCCGAUACUGACGCUGAGGAGCGAAAGCGUGGGGAGCGAACAGG
rnacentral:rRNA from 1 species